rnacentral:lncRNA from 1 species
GCCGCUCCAAAAGUUCCUAUAUGUUGCUCCUUCACCGCUGAUUUGCUUUCCUUCACUGCUCUUUGCUGGUAUUUCUUUUUCAAACCUUUUUUUGUUUGAUUACUCUGAAUUUCUGGUGAUUUCGAAAUAUUAAAUAGAUCAAUUUAAAUGAGAAUGAUAUACUACUCUGUGUGUUUGGUCUCAUGAAAUUGCUUCAUAGAAUUUUUUUACCUGGUUAAGAGCCACAACAGGCAUGAGGGAGAAAUUGGCACGCUUGACCUUUAAACAAUUUAAGAAAAAAGGUUUAAAAUUAUUCCUUUUUCUUUCUUUUUUCAAAAAUUAAAAAAAUGACGAAAUAACAUAUGAAGAUAUUUUCUCCCCUUAGUUUUGGAAGCAUAAAUGGUAUUGGUUCCUCAACCUUAUACUUUAAGGUUCCAGUUGUUGAGAAGAAAAAUCAGUAUUGUUAUCGAAGAACUAGAGCAAACAAAUAUUUACCCCUAAUUAAUAAGGAAAAUGAUUGCAACAGUUGACAUGGCAGCAUGCCCACUGGGGCUGGCAUAUAGGAAUUAUUUGAAGUUGAUGAUUUUUUCGUAUAUAUUGUACCAUAUUGAACAAUCGGUUUAUGUGAUUGGAAGCUAGUAGUCAAUAGUAUUUUUUAAUGUUUGUAAUUAGAUAUUAUUACCACUAGUUUAUUUAUUGAUUGUAUUUUUUUUAAAUACUUGUUGUGGUUCAUAAAAUUUAAUUUGUUCUUUUUGUUCAAAUUAUUUAAAUGUUUGUUCUUUAUUGAUUACACCUUUUAUAAUCUAUGUACUUUAGGUAUGGAACAAGACGGUGAAACUCAAAAAAAAAAAGAGACUACUUAGUUGAAAGAAUGAAACAUUAAUCAAAUUUUUUUAAAAGCAUGUAUUCGUGAGGUUGAGUAAAAUGGUAAGGAAGGUGCAAGCCUCAAGUCACAAUCAUAGAGAAAGGUUGGAAAAAUACAAAAAGACAAUUUGAUUGUGGAUCAAAAACAAAUGAAGAAUCAUUAUGACUACUUGAGAGAAAAAUAUAGUGCAUUGUGCAAAUUUAAAAGUAAAGCAUGAAAUGUGUAUGACCUGUUAACUAAUAGGUUCAACCUUUCGGAUGAGGAAUGGAAACAAGAGAAAAAUAUGCUCUCUUUAACUUUUUUUACAUUUUAAGCUAAUUAGUAAUAGUCCUUAAAAAUAUUUUAUAACAUGUUAUUUACUGUUUGAAUACAGACAAAUAAAAUGGUAGAAACUUUGAAGAUCUCACCUCUAAUCUUCCCCGAUCUUUAUAUUGCAUUAUUUGAUGAAACCGCGGCAACGGGACAUGAUAGUUGGGGUCCUAGUUGUGAAAGAGCUAGGAAUAAAGAUACGUCCAUUUGAACUUGAAGGUUGUUAGUCUUUGAGGACAUUCCUUUUAGCACCCAAAGUCGAGGGUCUUCUAUUUCAUCUCCUAAUUCAUCAACUCCCGAUACGCAAUCUCAUGCUUCCACUCCUAGCUUUGAAGAAGAAAGACCAAAGAAAAAAGUUAGACAUUCAUAAAAACAAACCUACAACACUAACCUAGAUGAAGAGAUGUCCAAGGCCUUGAAACUCAUUAUUGAAAAGAAUAGUGGACCAUUGGUGAAAGAAUGCAAAGAUAAGUUCGAAGAACUUGGAUGGGGAGCAGAAAAUCCACUACACAAGAUGGCUCUUGGAAUAUUUUGUGAAAAAUCAAGCUAAAGAGAAGCAUGGAUGAUUCUCGAAGAGAAUGAGGUUGAAAAUUGGGUUAUGAUGGUUUCACGCAAGUUAGGAUAUAUUGCUUAGUUUGUUCGAUAUUAUUUAAUUACAAACUUGAUAUUAUGUUAGUGGAUAUAUUUGAGGCUAUGUAAUUAGAUAAGUCUGGUUCAAAAUUUCUUAUCUUUGGGGCUAGCUAAUUUGAUAUUUUUAGAAUACAAACUUGUAUAUGUUGGAGCUUAUUUGCUAAUUAUGGAUAUGAUAUUUGUUUUUGCUAAUUAUGAAUGUGAUAUUUGUUAUAGAUGCUUUUGAAUGAACUUAUUAUGCUAAAUUUAUAAGGGAUGUUAUGAUGAUUAUUUAAAGUGGUGAUUAUUUUUAUAUCAUGUUAUGAUGACCAUGUAAUAUUUAAAUUACUCUAGUUAAUCUUUUUCUUUUAUUAAUUGUUAUAGUAUUUUAAAAUUGUUAUGUCUUAAAAUAAUCAUCAUAACAUUCAUUAUAAAUUUAACAUAAGAAGUUCAAAAUCAUCUGUAACAAAUAUUACAUCCAUAAUUAGCAAUAAUUAAUAAAUAAGCCCCCACAUAUACAAGUUUGUAUCCCAAAAAUAUUAAAUUAGUUAACCCCCCACAUAUACAAGUUUGUAUCCCAAAAAUAGUUAACCCCAAAGAUAAGAGAAAUUUGUACCCAAAAAUAUGAAAUUACUUAGCCCCAAAUAUAUCCACCAACAUAAUAUCAAGUGUGUAAUUAAAUAAUAUCUAACAAACUAAGCAAUAUAUCCUAACUUGCGUGAAACCAUCAUAACCCAAUUUUUAACCUCAUCCUCUUUUAGGAUGAUCCAUGCUUCUCUGUAGCUUGAUUUCUCACAAAAUAUUCUAAAAACCACCUUGUGUAGUGAAUUUUCUGCUCCCCAUCCGAGUUCUUUUAACUUAUCUUUGCAUUCUUUCACGAAUGGUCCACUAUUCUUUUCAAUAAUGAGUUUCAAGGCGUUGGACAUCUCUUCAUCUAGGUUAGUGUUGUAUGUUUAUUUUUAUGAGAGUCUCUAACUUUUUUCUUUGGUCUUUCUUCUUCAAAACUAGGAGCGAAAGCAUGAGAUUGCAUAUCGGGAGUUGAUGAAUUAGGAGAUGGAAUAGAAGACCCUUGACUUUGGGUGCUAAAAGGAAUGUCUAACGUGUGUAUCUUUAUUCCUAGCUCUUUCACAACUAGGACGCCAACUAUCAUGUCCCGUUGUCGCGAUUUCAUCAAAUAAUGCAAUAAAAAGAUCGGAGAAGAUUAGAGGUGAGGUCUUCAAAGUUUCUAUCAUUUUAUUUUUCUGUAUUCAAACAGUAAGUUCAACAUGUUAUAAAAUAUUGUUAAGGACUAUUACUAAUUAGCUUAAAAUGUAAAAAAGUUAAAACGAACAUAUUUUUCUCGUUUCCAUUCCUCAUCCGAAAGGUUGAACCUAUUAG